AUUGAACGCUGGCGGCAUGCUUUACACAUGCAAGUCGAGCGGCAGCGCGGGGGCAACCCUGGCGGCGAGCGGCGAACGGGUGAGUAAUGCAUCGGAACGUAUCCUCGAGUGGGGGAUAACCCAGCGAAAGUUGGGCUAAUACCGCAUGAGCUCUGAGGAGGAAAGCGGGGGACCUGCGAGGGCCUCGCGCUGGAGGAGCGGCCGAUGUCCGAUUAGCUAGUUGGUGGGGUAAAGGCUUACCAAGGCGACGAUCGGUAGCUGGUCUGAGAGGAUGAUCAGCCACACUGGGACUGAGACACGGCCCAGACUCCUACGGGAGGCAGCAGUGGGGAAUUUUGGACAAUGGGGGCAACCCUGAUCCAGCCAUGCCGCGUGAGUGAAGAAGGCCUUCGGGUUGUAAAGCUCUUUCGGACGGAACGAAAUGGGCGGGACUAAUACUCCUGUCUGAUGACGGUACUGUAAGAAGAAGCACCGGCUAACUACGUG
rnacentral:rRNA from 1 species